rnacentral:rRNA from 1 species
UCCGGUGGUGUUCUCGACAAGGCCACACCCGAUCCCAUCCCGAACUCGGAAGUUAAGCUUGUCGGAGCCGAUGGUACUGCAGGGGAAGCCCUGUGGGAGAGUAGGACGCUGCCGGGA